rnacentral:tRNA from 1 species
GGGAGUGUAGCUCAGUGGUAGAACCCCUGUCUAGCAAGUGGGAGGCCCUGGGUUCAAUCCCUAGCACCA